rnacentral:rRNA from 1 species
UACGUAGGUGACCAGCGUUGUCCGGAUUUACUGGCGUAAAGAGCGCGCAGGCGGUCGUUCAAGUCGAGUGUGAAAGCCCCCGGCUCAACUGGGGAGGGUCACUCGAUACUGAUCGACUUGAAGGCAGGAGAGGGAAGCGGAAUUCCCGGUGUAGUGGUGAAAUGCGUAGAUAUCGGGAGGAACACCAGUGGCGAAGGCGGCUUCCUGGCCUGUUCUUGACGCUGA